UUUCCGGUGAAAGCGCUAGCGUUCAUUCGCUUGCCGAAAAAUGUCGAAGACCAGAAGUAAUCAGAUGUGUAGUGUGCCUUUGUGUUCAAAUUCAAAUAAAAUACAGCCUUAUUUAUCAUUUCAUAGUUUUCCCACCGACGAAAAUUUUUAAAAAGCGUUGAAAUUGGGCUAUACGGAGAGAGGAGGGGGCGUUCUUUACUGUGAGGAAAGGUAGGACUUUAGUCUGUGCUAAGCACUAAGACGGAGGAUGAGGUCCGUGUCCAAGCAGAGUCGGGUCGUAAAGAUCCUUUUACUAUCUGUGUAAAGAUCUCGCACCACGAGCUGUGACUUCCAGGUUUGCGUGGAAAAGUUGCGGAGACGUUAAAUCACGCGUCAAAACGGGAUGUUUGUGGUGCAGAGCAGUAAAUGUCGAGAUGGUACUGGAGCACGAUUACAACAACCGUCCUGUCCCAGAUGCUCUUGCUGAGGCAUGGGGGAAAAAAGGAGCUGGAAAAAACACCUGCUAGUGACAUCAGCAUCAUCUACACACCUGCUAGUGACAUCACUCUCCUCCUCACCUGCUAGUGACAUCACUCUCCUCCUCACCAGCUAGUGACAUCACUCUCCUCCUCACCUGCUAGUGACAUCAGCAUCAUCUACACACUUGAUAGUGACAUCAUGCUCCUCCUCACCUGCUAGUGACAUCAUGCUCCUCCUCACCUGCAUUUUCUCCCUUUAGUGAGGCACUGUGAAUCAGCUGCAAGAGAAUGUCUGCUGCAGACGAUGCCAAUCCUGGAGGAGCCGGUCCUCCUGCUGCCCUCCAAACACCACCAGCAACCACCGACUGCAGCAGACACAAGCCACAAGUGGAUGAGAUGAUGAUUAUUAUGGGUGUCAUUGGAGUCAUUUUCUUGUAUUUCUUCUCUUGAGCCGAUCCACCGGCAGCGAAUGAGAAAACGAAUGAUUGAAUGAAGAAAACACAAUCUUGAGCUCUGCCCAUUUUCCACAAUCUCAAAGUUUCUCCGCUUAGUAAAAUCUCCACCUUCUCUUUCUCUUUCCCUCCCUCUCAGAAUCUCCCGCAUUAUUUAAACAUUCUCCAGACACACAGACAUUCAUACAUGAAUGCACAGAGGGAGCAGACGAAAAGCAGGCCUAGGAAGUGCAACACUGUUUAUAAGUUUGUGGUCAGAAAAAAAAUUCUAAUAAUAUUUUUAUUGAUCAGUAGUGACAAUGUCAGACAAGAUUUCAAAUUUUCUAUUCAUCAAAGAGUCCUGAAAAAAAAAAGUAUUGUGGUUUCCACAAAAGAAUUAAGAAAAACUUGUUUUCAACAUCAAUAAUAGUAAGAAAUGGAUCUUGAGCACCUUAUUAUUUCUGAAGCAUCAUGUGACACUGAAGACUGGAGUAAUGAUGCUGAAAAUGCAGGAACAAAUUACUUUCUUAAAUGUUAAUAUAGAAAAUGGUUAUUUUGCAUUGCAAUUACAUUUCACAAUAUUAUUGUUUUUACUGUAUUUUACUCAAAGCAAUGCUAAGAAAUAUGGGUCACAUGAUCCUUCGGGAAUAAGUCUCCUGCUCAAAUUAACCUUUUGAACACUCAGCUUCGACAUCAUUAAUUACAUUUUAAUUAUAUAAAUUACAAUUUGAAAUAUAUUCAAAUAUAAAACCGUUAUAUUGUAAUAAUAUUUCACAAUUUAACAGUUUUUAUUUCUGUAUUUUGAUCACAUGAAUGCUGCAUGAACACGAGAAACAUUUUAAAAUGUAUGUAAGAGAGAAAACGUGUGUGUGGUGUGUUUGUAAAAAUGUGUAAUGGGGAAUAGAUGACAGUAAAGUGACGUAGACAUUCUUUCUGGCUCUUUAUUGCCAAAGCUUUCUCGUCUGAGCUUUUAGAAAUUAAUACUGACAUAAUUAACCCAGUAUCACUACUGCUGGUGCCAUUACUCUGUCAUUGAGAUACAAUUCAUGAGCCAUCAUUCACUGAUUGUGUAUGUGUACUUAAGAGAUGCAGAAAUUUACAGAACAACUAGACAUCAUAGAAUAGUUAAUUUUUUUUUUUUACCUAGAGGUACACAAGUAAUGAAAAUAAACAGGGAAAAUACAAUGCCAAGUCUGUAAUAAAAGGGAAAAGUGAGAAUUCUUUGCAAGGUUCAUUAGUUUCUUUCUUUGACUCAGAAAAAAAUAAUUUUCUUGUUCUGUGGAAGGGAACAAGAUGUGAAUGCUACAAGCCUGCCAAAAUGUACUGAAACGUACAGAAAUUCACAGAUUAUCAAUACAAUUGACAAUAAUCAAUACUGCCAUGCAAUAGACAACUGUUGGUUUCACAUCCUUCGUCAGCACAGACUUUAAUAUCUUGUUCUGUUGUUGGAGAAUGUAG